rnacentral:lncRNA from 1 species
GCGCCCGUAGGCCUUGACCGGGGCCGCACAGGGCAGUUCGUGGGGCGGCCGCUCGAGGUCGCCGGAGCUGACCGGGGGCAGCGGCACCUUUGCCUUCCCGCCCUCGUCCGGGGUUUCCGGGCAGCUGGGGGCGCACGCUGGCUGCGAGGCCAUCUCGGAGCCUGGCCCGCGGGACGCCCACCCCCGGCACCUCGGCGGGGCCGCGAACGGUGGCGCCACGCGCUGAGGCCUCGACCCUGCGGCCUGCACCUGCGCCCUGCACCUGCGGCCGCACUAGGCUCUGCGCCUGCGCCCCGCGCCCUGCGCCUGCGCUCUGCACCUGCGGCCUGCACCCUGCACUGCACUCAGCGCCUGCGCCUUGCACGGAGGCCUGCGCCCUGCACUGCACUCUGCGCCUCCGCCCUGCACCUGCGCUCUGCGCCCUGCACCAGGCUCUGCGCCUGCGGCCUACGCCCUGCACCUGCGGCCUGCGCCCUGCACCAGACUCUGCGCCUGCGCCCUGCACCAGGCUCUGCGCCUGCGGCCUACGCCCUGCACCUGCGGCCUGCGCCCUGCACUGCACUCAGCGCCUGCUCUCUGCGCCCUGCACUGAGGCCUGUGCCCUGCACCUGCGCUCUGCGCCCUGCACCAGGCUCUGCGCAUGCGGCCUACGCCCUGCACCUGCGCCCUGCGCCCUGCACUAGGCUCUGCGCCUGCGCCCUGCACCAGGCUCUGCGCCUGCGGCCUACGCCCUGCACCUGCGGCCUGCGCCCUGCACUGCACUCUGCGCCUCCGCCCUGCACCUGCGCCCUGCACCAGGCUCUGCGCCUGCGGCCUAUGCCCUGCACCUGCGCCCUGCGCCCUGCACUAGGCUCUGCGCCUGCGCCCUGCACCUGCAGACUGCGCCCUGCACUGCACUCUGCGCCUGCGCCCUGCGCCUGUGUCCUGUGCCCGCAGCCUGCGCUGUGCUCUGCGCCUGCGGCCUGCACCCUACCUGCGCCCUGCACCUGCGCUGUGCCCUGCGCCUGCAGCCCACGCCUGUGCCCUGCACUGGCGGCCUGCGCCCUACCUGUGCCCUACAGCUACGCCUGCGGCCUGCGCCCAACACGUGCGCUCUGCGGCCUGCGCCCUGUGCUCUAUGCCCUGCACCUGUGCUCUGUGCCCUGUGGCCCGCACCUGCGCCUUGUGCCCACUUCCCAGGAAUGA